rnacentral:rRNA from 1 species
GACGAACGCUGGCGGCGUGCUUAACACAUGCAAGUCGAACGGAAAGGCCCUGCUUUUGUGGGGUGCUCGAGUGGCGAACGGGUGCGUAACACGUGAGUAACCUGCCCUUGACUUUGGGAUAACUUCAGGAAACUGGGGCUAAUACCGGAUAGGAGCUCCUGCUGCAUGGUGGGGGUUGGAAAGUUUCGGCGGUUGGGGAUGGACUCGCGGCUUAUCAGCUUGUUGGUGGGGUAGUGGCUUACCAAGGCUUUGACGGGUAGCCGGCCUGAGAGGGUGACCGGCCACAUUGGGACUGAGAUACGGCCCAGACUCCUACGGGAGGCAGCAGUGGGGAAUAUUGCACAAUGGGCGGAAGCCCGAUGCAGCAACGCCGCGUGCGGGAUGACGGCCUUCGGGUUGUAAACCGCUUUCGCCUGUGACGAAGCGUGAGUGACGGUAAUGGGUAAAGAAGCACCGGCUAACUACGUG